GCAUUGCAUCUCCACCAUAAAAUACAAGUCAAGACAAGAUUUUAUGUCUGCUAAAUUUCUGCAUGUGCUAUCGCCUAAAACAGACAGAUAUCAAGAAUGUUAUUUUUCUUUUGGAUUUGCUUUUUAAAGGAAAGGUUCAUUGUCUCAAUUGUCUCAAUUGCAAAGAAUGUCUUAAGACACAAGUCUAAUAAUAUGCAGUUCCGCAUAUUUAAAGUGGAUGUAACAUGCUAUGUCAUGCAUUCUGACGUCUGUUGAAAGUGCUGGCUUCUCAUGCUUAACACGGUCAACUUGUUCAAAAACAAGUUGGACGUGUGACGUAGUAUUUCUGUGCUUGAUACACUCCCCCAGCACACCAACUUGUUUAGGAAAGUUUUUUGUUUUGUAUUGUAACAGGGAUCCUAUUCCUUUUAUAGGGCAAUUCUCCCAGAAAAGCACAGCAAGGCGAAAGAAAGAGCCCGCCCACGCGCCAACCGACGAACGAGACCCGAUUGCCAUCAAGAUUGUCUGCGCUGCGUUAAGAUUGUCUGCGCUGCGCUGCAGAUCGUUACUCUUGCGAGAGUGAAGUUUAGGUGUGUUUGUUUGUUCACAGCAUUUCAGUGAUGGAUGUUAUAUAAACGGUGGACGUAAAGCUGGAUUUGGAGAUCGUUUGAAACUGACAGAUGGCGUGGUCCCAGUCAUAAAAGAUGCCGGACAUGAACUGCACGCGGUAAGUCAAAAUGGUUGUUUCAAGAUCUUCCCCGAAGAUAAAUUCUAAAGGAAUGUUCCACUUCGAGUCUUUGAUCCAAGGGUCACCAAGAAGCUUCACCACAUUAGGAUGCCGAGCAUUACUGGGGUUAAACAUCCAGCGUUAUACUCUUGUCUGUUGAUGAGACCUACAUGAACUCUCUUCAAAGCAGCCCACGAGUCUCCAAACUUCUCCUUAUAUAUUUUCCCAAAGCAGCCCUUAGCCAGUGUUUGUGUACAGUAC